rnacentral:rRNA from 1 species
AGAGUUUGAUCAUGGCUCAGAACGAACGCUGGCGGCGCGUCUUAAGCAUGCAAGUCGAGCGGGAAUGUGUAGCUUGCUAUACAUGAGAGCGGCGGACUGGUGAGUAACACGUAGGUGAUUUACCCUAUAGACGGGGAUAGCCAGUAGAAAUACUGGAUAAUACCGGAUAAGAACAUUAAAGUUAGAGGUUAAUGUGGAAAGGAGCUAAGGCUCCGCUAAAGGAGAAGCCUGCGGCCCAUCAGCUAGUUGGAGAGGUAAAGGCUCACCAAGGCGAUGACGGGUAUCCGGCCUUAGAGGGUGAACGGACACAUUGGGACUGAGAUACGGCCCAGACUCCUACGGGAGGCAGCAGCUAAGAAUAUUCCGCAAUGGACGAAAGUCUGACGGAGCGACGCCGCGUGGAUGAAGAAGGUCGGAAGAUUGUAAAAUCCUUUUACUGUAGAGGAAUAAGCGAUAUAGGGAAUGAUAUCGUGGUGACUGUAAGCAGAGAAUAAGAGGCGGCUAAUUACGUGCCAGCAGCCGCGGUAACACGUAAGCCUCGAGCGUUGUUCGGAAUUAUUGGGCGUAAAGGGCAUGUAGGCGGUUAUGUAAGUCUGGUGUGAAAUACUUAAGCUUAACUUAAGAAUAGCAUUGGAAACUGUGUAACUAGAAUCACUGAAGGGGAGUCGGAAUUCCAGGUGUAGGGGUGAAAUCUGUAGAUAUCUGGAAGAACACCGAUGGCGAAAGCAGGCUUCUGGCAGAUGAUUGACGCUGAGGUGCGAAGGUGCGGGGAGCAAACAGGAUUAGAUACCCUGGUAGUCCGCACAGUAAACGAUGUACAUUAGGUAUUUGGGCAGAAGUCUGGGUGCCGAAGCAAACGCGAUAAAUGUACCGCCUGGGGAGUAUGCCCGCAAGGGUGAAACUCAAAGGAAUUGACGGGGGCCCGCACAAGCGGUGGAGCAUGUGGUUUAAUUCGAUGGUACGCGAGGAACCUUACCUGGGUUUGACAUACAAGUGAAGACUAUAGAGAUAUGGGAGCGUAGCAAUACGCCUUGAACAGGUGCUGCAUGGCUGUCGUCAGCUCGUGCCGUGAGGUGUUGGGUUAAGUCCCGCAACGAGCGCAACCCCUACUGACAGUUACUAACAGGUAAAGCUGAGGACUCUGUCGGAACUGCCGGUGAUAAACUGGAGGAAGGUGGGGAUGACGUCAAGUCAUCAUGGCCCUUAUGUCCAGGGCUACACACGUGCUACAAUGGUGGGGAACAAAGUGAAGCGAAGCCGCGAGGUGAAGCAAAACGCAGAAAACCCAUCGUAGUUCGGAUUGAAGUCUGAAACCCGACUUCAUGAAGUUGGAAUCGCUAGUAAUCGCACAUCAGCACGGUGCGGUGAAUACGUUCCCGGGCCUUGUACACACCGCCCGUCACACCAUCCGAGUCGAGGAUACCCGAAGCCGGUAGGUUAACCUGCAAAGGAGGCCGCUGUCGAAGGUAUGCUUGGUAAGGGGGGUGAAGUCGUAACAAGGUAACC